GGGGAUGUAAUGGUUUCGACAGGGGUGUUGAAGUGGGAUAAGCGAGCCGUAGUUGCCAAGUCUACGUUAAAAGUGGCCGUUAAAUAUAAACGCUAAAAAUAAUAACAAUUUCGCAUUAGCUGCGUAGUCAGCCCGCGCGUCUUCUAUGAUUCACCUGUAGAUUAUAGGUAAGACGUCAAACAUACAGGACAACCUUGCAAGAGUUCUCGGUACUGUAAGGGAAUAACGAGAUAGCGAAAACUUUAGCUUGCUAGUAAGCGACUGAAUUUGCGAAAU
rnacentral:tmRNA from 1 species